GCCUACAACCCUACCCUGAAUGUGCCUGAUCUUGUCUGAUCUCAGAAGCUAAGCAGCGUUGGGCCUGGUUAGUACUUGGAGGGGAGACUGCCUGGGAAUACUGGGUGCUAUAGGCU
rnacentral:rRNA from 1 species